GGGGCCCAAUCGCAAUACCAUUAAAACGCAAUUGUCCUAAAUUAAAAUGGGAAAUCCAAAGCUGCAGUAGCCAAAUAGGCCUGUCUAGCAGACAACAAUCUGAAUUGGAUGCCUCCCUGAAGAUAAGCCAUUUUACUGCAGAACAUGAUGAUGUCUUUAUCGGCGUGACGAUAAACAAUAGGCUUUUCACAGCCAGGGGACGCAGACUAAUUCAAGUCUUGAAGAAACAUCAGGAAGAUGUGCAGUGCUGCAAAUCCCACAGGGACCAGAGGGAUGGGCCUUUAAAGGGGCUCUGCAAGUGAACAUGAAAACAAGGAUAUGGCCCAGGCAAAACAAAGAUCUCCUGGUCCAGCCUGAUAUCUCCCUGACUCAAUGGGAGGGGUCUCCAGGGGCCACCUGGAGCCUGAGGUGUUCAGGGGCCACAGCUUCACCCUCACUUAUUCCACUCAGCCACAGUACCCAGGAGGCUCUUUCCACUUCACGUUCACCAGCUCCAACAGAACCCAGACAGCUGUAAAUCACUCUGCUGCCUUCCUCUUCCCUGCUGUAGAUGACUCCCACCAAAGGAAUUACAGCUGUGUUUAUGAGAAUUAUGUUUUCUCUCAUAACUUCUACUCUGAGAGUGAGUUCCUCUCCCUCACAGCCUCUCCUCUGCCCACCUUCAUCAUCAGACAUGUUGUAGUGCUGCUGAUCCUACUGACAGCCAUCACUGCCUUCUACCUGUACUUCAAGGUAAUGAC